AAUUGGGAUAUAUAUAAAAACAGACUUUUUUUAAUCUUCAAGGAAUAAUCAAAACCGAAAUAAUUGUUGUAUGAAGAUGUAGUUAUUGCAAAUGAUAUAUUAUACACUUUUCCCAUUUUCUUAAAGCCUGGACUGACAUCACUGCUUGUUAUAAGUUACAUUUUUAAUAAAAGUACUUACUGAAUUUUAACAUCCUAAUAGGAUUUUCGGCCUGCUCACCAUAGAGUUUUCUUAGUCUUUUGGCCCAGUCUUUCUUUUGACAUGUUUUGCUUCAUUCACUUAUUUUUUAUGUUUUACUGCACCUUCAUUCAAUUUUUAUCCCCUCAGCUAAUAGGUGGCACCCCCAUGCUUUCCCUUGUUUGGUAUUGGGAUUAGGUACUGAAUGCAAGAAGACAGGUCCUGGGCUAGGAUGCAUCUUCAUAGAUAUUACGGUAGAGCCACGGACCAAGUAAUUGAAGUACAUUAAGUUCUGUAUUUUUGUAAUACUGUGGAUGGAACUGAGAACUUCAUGUUCACUAGGCAAGUGGUUUGCCACUGCGCUGUAUCCUAGUCCUAUAAUAUUGUUAAACAGUUGGAUGUUUUUAUUUUUAUACUAGAAAACAGUUCCUAUUUGUUCAGUGACCUUUAGAAAUAGCCUACAUGUUUUGUUGAUGAAGACAGUUGAGAGCAGGGAGAGACACCCAUACCGAUGUGUUCUUUGUGUGAGCACAGCUUUAGUGGCUCUGAAGUAUGGGAGCACUGCCCACUGUAUGGCCUCACUUUUGCCUACAGAAUACUUCUCAUUUCCACACAGUUCUCACAGGGCUCAUAUGUUUAGUCAUCCGGUAUCGCAGCUUGCAGCUCAGUUUCUACAGCUUUAUUUUCACUAAAGAUAAUUACAGUUUGUCUUGAGUCUUUGCCUUGUCUCCUGGCUGUAGUGUUCUCCAGCUUUCCAUGGUUUCCUUCCACAUUGUGUUAGAUACAAGUAAACGUUAGUUGAUGUCAUGCUUAGUUUUUGUUGAUGACCCACUUCAGAGUUGGUGUUCAGAAACACUGUUAAUUUAAUUAUGUGUUCAUUUCUCAUAGAUGUCAAAAGUAAAUCUUUGAGGAAAAAUUGACUUGUUUACUUGUGUUUACUCUAUGUGCAAUUAUUAAUAGUAGGUUAAAAAUGUUUACUAGAGAAUUUUAGACAUUCCAGUUUCUAAUGUUUUCUUAGCAAUAGAUUCCCAGGUAACAGAGUUUGAUAACAGGAAUACUUAGAAAUCCAGGGUGAAGUUUAACUCCUUUUUACAUUUUCAAAAUUAAUCUUUUCAAUAUUUAAUAUUUACUAAAUUUGUAAUUGAAAACUACAUACAAUAUUUCCAUUGUACUUUCUUAAAUUUAAAUUCUCUGUUAGAAUUCUCAUGGAAAGUUUGGGCUUCUGAAAGAUUUAUUGUAAAUGUGUAUAGUUUUCAUGUUACCUUCCACUAGAAAUAGAGAUUUGUAUCUGGAAGGUAGGACCUGUGAAGGACUAAUAAAGAGAGAUGUUCAUUU
rnacentral:lncRNA from 1 species